rnacentral:rRNA from 1 species
AAUAGAUACCCGGUAGUCCACGCCGUAAACGAUGAGUGCUAAGUGUUAGAGGGUUUCCGCCCUUUAGUGCUGCAGCAAACGCAUUAAGCACUCCGCCUGGGGAGUACGGCCGCAAGGCUGAAACUCAAAGGAAUUGACGGGGGCCCGCACAAGCGGUGGAGCAUGUGGUUUAAUUCGAAGCAACGCGAAGAACCUUACCAGGUCUUGACAUCUCCUGACAACCCUAGAGAUAGGGCGUUCCCCUUCGGGGGACAGGAUGACAGGUGGUGCAUGGUUGUCGUCAGCUCGUGUCGUGAGAUGUUGGGUUAAGUCCCGCAACGAGCGCAACCCUUGAUCUUAGUUGCCAGCAUUCAGUUGGGCACUCUAAGGUGACUGCCGGUGACAAACCGGAGGAAGGUGGGGAUGACGUCAAAUCAUCAUGCCCCUUAUGACCUGGGCUACACACGUGCUACAAUGGAUGGUACAAAGGGCUGCAAGACCGCGAGGUUAAGCGAAUCCCAUAAAACCAUUCUCAGUUCGGAUUGCAGGCUG